CGACCGGCGCACGGGUGAGUAACACGUAUGCAACCUGGCCGUCACAGGUGGAUAACCGGAAGAAAUUCCGACUAAUACAGCAUAACACUCCUGAGGGACAUCCCUUGGGAGUCAAAGGAGGCAACUCCGGUGACGGAUGGGCAUGCGGCGCAUUAGGUAGUUGGUAGGGUAACGGCCUACCAAGCCGACGAUGCGUAGGGGUUCUGAGAGGAAGGUCCCCCACACUGGUACUGAGACACGGACCAGACUCCUACGGAAGGCAGCAG
rnacentral:rRNA from 1 species